rnacentral:rRNA from 1 species
UACGAAGGGGGCUAGCGUUGCUCGGAAUCACUGGGCGUAAAGCGCACGUAGGCGGCUUUUUAAGUCAGGGGUGAAAUCCUGGAGCUCAACUCCAGAACUGCCUUUGAUACUGAGAAGCUUGAGUCCGGGAGAGGUGAGUGGAACUGCGAGUGUAGAGGUGAAAUUCGUAGAUAUUCGCAAGAACACCAGUGGCGAAGGCGGCUCACUGGCCCGGUACUGACGCUGAGGCGCGAAAGCUAGGGGAGCAAACGGG